rnacentral:rRNA from 1 species
AUGUGUGUUCUAAAAAAUCAAGGAGGAAUGGGAUUAUGAGAUUUACAUUGUUUCAAUAUGGCAUUGUUAGCUAAACAAGCUUGGCGUCUCCUAGAUAAUCCUGAUUCGCUAUGUGCUACAAUCUUAAGAGCCAACUAUUUCCCCGAGGGCGACUUGAUGAACACAAGCUUAAAAAAGGGUUCCUCCUUCACUUGGCAAACACUGGUGGAAAAACGGCUAGCCACAACUUUCGUUGGUGGCGCACCAUUUUCCAUCAAUGCCAGGCCAACACUAUUUUUUUUUUCAAAUAGUGUUGGCGUUGGCAUAAUUAGCACGUGA